UGGGGAAUUUUGGACAAUGGGGGCAACCCUGAUCCAGCAAUGCCGCGUGGGGGAUGAAGGCCCUAGGGUCGUAAACCCCUUUCAGCAGGGACGAAGAUGACGGUACCUGCAGAAGAAGCCCCGGCCAACUACGUGCCAGCAGCCGCGGUAAGACGUAGGGGGCGAGCGUUGUCCGGAUUUAUUGGGCGUAAAGAGCUCGUAGGCGGUUGCGUAAGUCGGAUGUGAAAACUCAGGGCUCAACCCUGAGACGCCAUCCGAUACUGCGCUGACUUGAAUCCAGUAGGGGAGUGCGGAAUUCCUGGUGUAGCGGUGAAAUGCGCAGAUAUCAGGAGGAACACCCAUGGCGAAGGCAGCACUCUGGGCUGGUAUUGACGCUGAGGAGCGAAAGCAUGGGUAGCGAACAGGAUUAGAUACCCUUGUAGUCCCUGAGCGGGCUGGCAAGGCGCAU
rnacentral:rRNA from 1 species